AUGCACAAAGAUUUGAGUUCAAAACUCUUUAGCUGACCAACUCAAACAAUGCCUCUUUCUGUUCCUCACUUCAUCUCUGUCAGCAGAUUUUCAGACCUCAAUGGUGUAAAGGUACGUGGUUCACCAAGGUGUUUUCGGAGAGAUUGUAAAGUAUUUACAGUUAUAUCAAUGUCAAAAGAGGCAUCAAAUUAUAUACCAGCAGCUCCUAUAUUUCUCCCUGAAGGACCAUGGCAACAGAUUCCUGGUGGUGUUACUGCUGCAAAGGGUUUCAAAGCUGCUGGGAUGUAUGGUGGAUUGCGUGCUCUUGGAGAGAAACCUGAUCUCGCACUCGUCACUUGUGAUGUAGAUGCCAUAUCUGCAGGGGCAUUUACUACAAAUGUUGUUGCAGCUGCACCUGUACUAUACUGUAAAAGCGCACUAAAU
rnacentral:misc_RNA from 1 species